rnacentral:rRNA from 1 species
UACAGAGGUCUCAAGCGUUGUUCGGAUUCAUUGGGCGUAAAGGGUGCGUAGGCGGCGCGGUAAGUCGGGUGUGAAAUCCCACGGCUUAACCGUGGAAGGGCCUUCGAUACCGGCGGGCUGGAGGAAGGUAGGGGUGCGCGGAACUUCUGGUGGAGCGGUGAAAUGCGUUGAUAUCAGAAGGAACGCCGGCGGCGAAAGCGGCGCACUGGAUCUUUUCUGACGCUGAGGCGCGAAAGCCAGGGGAGCAAACGGG